rnacentral:hammerhead_ribozyme from 1 species
AUCCAGUUGACGAGUCCCAAAUAGGACGAAACAUGGCGCAUCCUGGCUAGAU